UAUCAUUUUUAUAAUAAUAUUUAUACAUGUAUCUAGUUAAUGAAAAUUACAUUAUUUAAUACUAUAGAUAUUUUGGUAAAUUGAUUCUCAUUCCCAUUUAUUUUGCCAAGUAAACCCAUAAAUGACAUUCCAACACAUUCUCAUUCCCAUUUAUUUUUGCCAAGUAAACAUUGGAAUCUCAUUCACAUUCCUCAUUCCCAAGACAACCCAUUCUCAUUCUACCCCAUUCUCAUUCCAUGAAGUAAACGCAUCAUUAGUGAAGUAUGUUUACUCUAGGAUGGCAAUGAGCAUCGCCCGCUACGGGUUUGCCGUUAUCAAAACCGCAUCCGCAAAAAAUUUAAAUUACCAGACCCGCCCGCAACCUACAACGAAUUUUUUGCUGGUUUUCUCAUUUAAAAUCAUGAAU
rnacentral:lncRNA from 1 species